CCUACGGGAGGCAGCAGUGAGGAAUAUUGGUCAAUGGACGAGAGUCUGAACCAGCCAAGUAGCGUGAAGGAUGACUGCCCUAUGGGUUGUAAACUUCUUUUAUAUGGGAGUAAAAUGUUCCACGUGUGGGAUUUUGUAUGUACCAUAUGAAUUAGGAACGGCUAACUCCGUGCCAGCAGCCGCGGUAAUACGGAGGAUCCGAGCGUUAUCAGGAUUUAUUGGGUUUAAAGGGAGCGUAGGUGGAUUGUUAAGUCAGUUGUGAAAGUUUGCGGCUCAACCGGAAAAUUGCAGUUGAAACUGGCAGUCUUGAGUACAGUAGAGGUGGGCGGAAUUCGUGGUGUAGCGGUGAAAUGCUUAGAUAUCACGAAGAACUCCGAUUGCGAAGGCAGUUCACUGGACUGCAACUGACACUGAGGCUCGAAAGUGUGGGUAUCAAACAGGAUUAGAUACCCGAGUAGUC
rnacentral:rRNA from 1 species